UCCCUUUCAUUUUCUCCGAGCAUAAUGCUUACCUGGGGAAAUGUCCCAGAAGAGGGUCCACCUUCGCAGCAUCCGGAAGGUGCCCGAUACUGCCAUGCACCCUUGAGUUAUAGGCCUCCCAGCAAUAAAAGAGACAUCAUGUUCACCUCUCCUGAGUGAGGAGCCGAAGAGCACUUGCUGAAGGCUGUAUGUGGCUCUCUGAAAACUGUGCUAUAGCUUUGACCUUGCUGGCUGUGGAAGACCUGUCACGAGGGACAGAGCAUCUGGGAUGGGGGUGGAUGUGAAGACCAUGCAGGCAUAGGAAAAGCUUGGAGAAAACCAAGCUCUGUGGUUCCAUUGCCUGGAAAGCCCGUGGGUUUGGGAACGAGGAGCCACACGGCCGUCCGCUGACCUCCAGGCAGUCUGACGAGUGAUUCGAAGGAUGACUUCAGAUGUUGGGAGCACCGGCAGCUGCCUUUUUGAUCUGUCUGCCUUAAAAGUUCUAUCUCUACACUAGGCUCACUGCAGGCUUUUUCAAUACUGCAGAAUUUCCUAAUACCCUUUAAAUAAAGAUCAAAAAGAAACCGG